GAUGAGCUUCAGCUUGAUCUUCAUCAUGUUGCCGGAGGCCUAAUUGGUGAUUACUAUAGCUUUUUGUUCAACUCUAAGGUAUUUUUAAUCAAACUUUCAUCCCAAUUUAUCUUAUGAGGAUGAAGUUAUUAAAUACUCGGUACGACUCAAUGUCGUUAUACAGAUCUGUGAAGGUUCAACUGUGUACGCGAGUGCAAUAGCUAACAAGCUUAUCGAAGUCGUGGACAAGCAGUAUGCAGCAAUUCCACCAACUAGUAGCUAUUAGGUAUGUGUAUAUGCAGGAGUUUUUUUAAUUUUUAAUUUUUAAUUUUUUUAAAAAUUAUAUAGCAAUUUUUUGAGUAUGAAUGAUCUAAAUUAGUGUGGAGAAUAACAAUUAAUUAAUGACUGAAGUUGGGAAUUAAGCUUUAUUUGACUGGUAUAGACAGCAGAAGAUUCAUCUGAAUAGUAAGUUGCAGUUUUACGACAGUAGUAGAUCAGAUAAUAAGUUAGUUUCAAACAUAUAUGUACAGUUACUUAAUAUGGGCAUGCAAAAAGUACAUUAAUACUCAGACUUGCAGACUUAAAUUUAUGUCUUCAGUUAACUGCAGUCCAAGUUUCCCAGAUAUACAUAAAAAAUAAGGUUAAUCAAAUAUGUUAAUUUGAAUCUCUUUUUGACAGAUAACAUUAGUAUGAACGGCAAAAUCUUAUGCAACUUUUACGAAAUCACUUAAUGUUAAAUAGUUUACUAACGGCUUUACCAUCCAACUUUAACUCAUGUGAAAGUCAUGUGAUUUUGAGGUUCGUCAUCGAACGAAAUAAACUAAACAUUUCAGUUUCCCUAAGAUGCUAUGUUAAUUGCAGUUUAACCUGGCUAUCAUAAUAUUAAUGGCAUUAAUGAAAUUGCAAUAUUCAAUUGCGUUAUAAGGGUAAAUUUCACGUGGUUAAAACUUAAAAUACAAUAAUAAUAAUAAUAAUAAUAAUAAUAAUAAUAGUAAAGUGUUAAUUUCUUUCUGUUUGCAGAUUAAAAUUGUUCAUUGGAGGAGGAUCGAAGUUGGAUAAAGACUGAUGACUACAAAUUAUGCAUCAUUUUUCUGUUGAAUAUUAGGCAGUAGGGAAGAUGUGGGUCGUGACAGACAUCCAUUUAUAUUAUGCUGAUUUACUCAAUGAAUAGUGAUACAUAUUAUAUAUGUAAUAAAUCUAUGUAUUUCUAUGGCCAAAUUAAAAAUGAAUGCAUGCUCAAGCAGUAUAUAUAGAUAUAUUGUUUGAAUACAGUUUUAAUUACCUCAUACAUGUAUGUAUGUACAGGGAUGGAGCCAGUACUCAACGAGCCAUGGCAGCCAUCCAUAUGUGUUGGCUCCGUUGGAAUUAUUUUUCCAUAUAUUAGGCAGCCAUCGAUCGAGCUGUCGCCCGCAUUCACCUAGAUGACUAGAUCUGGCCUAGUUCCUCAAAUUCUUGGAUCCGAGUGCGUGUUUGAGGAUAACUUGAGUUGACUGCUCCAUUUGGUACCAUUCCAUGUUUGCCUGACUCAAUCGAUGCACAUGCAUGCUCAACUUAAACUUCA
rnacentral:lncRNA from 1 species